AGAAAAUGAAGAGAUUGAUAUUCAAAUGGCAACCGGAAUAGAUUUUGCAAGAAACAAAUGUCCAAAAUGAUACGUAUGAUGAUGAUGAUGAUGAAUUUCAAGAGGCAAUUAGGCGAAGUCUUGAAGAAAAAUGAAGAUGUCCAAAGAUGGGUGUACCAAAACAUCUACCUGGCUUCAAAAAAAUUGAAAUUUGUUCACCAUUUUAUAAAAACAUUUAAAAAUGUACUGGCUUUUAUUUCAGUGUUUCAAUGGCACUGUAAAAAACUAUCAGGCACUAGUAGAGUUGAGAACCUGUUGUGAAAUGUUAACUAAUGGGAUUUCAGUCAUCCCUUCUCAUGGCUUAAACAGUAAAUGGUUUUAAAAUGUCAUAUGGCUGAGCUUACUUUAAAAAAUACAAGAACACGGCAAUUAUACUGAGUCGCAAGAUCCAUUAACUUUCUUUUUUUCUACUGUCUGACCCUAAAACUCAACGUUAUGAUUUAUGUUGCUUGUUUUUUUAAGCUGUUCUUUUCUGGACUUUUAAUGUUUUACUUCUACUGUUCUGUUGACUUAAUUUUGUAGUGCAAGAAUUGCAGUAGAUACAGGUAUUAAUCCAGAAUGUCCAGAGUGCCUUUUCUUUCUUCAUCAAUUUCUGAGAUGAAGUUUAGAUACUAUCCUGAAGAUCACAGCACAUAAGCAAACUUACAAGAGAUCUAUUGAAAUUCACUUAAAUUUGAGGUCCAAGAACUAGUUACUGUUAUCUGUCUCUUCAUUCUUAUCUAUAUGUUUAAUGUGAAUGAAUACAAUGCCAAAUAGACUUUGAGUAUUUGUAUAUUUGUUUCCUGGUUCCUGCAUCAAAGUAUUUUCCUGUUUAUUGUUGACAUUUAAAUGUAACUUCAGGAAGCUGAAGCCUUUCUUUGAUUUUGUUUUUAACUUAUUUGCAUUUCUCAGAGCAUAUAUACUUCAGCAUAAUUAAAAUAUCAGCUAUUGUUCUGUUGCUUCUCAUAUCAGUCAAGUACUACUUGAAAGCUUUCAUUUUUAUUUUUUAUAGGUUCAUUCAUUCCAUUUGGCUUAGUUUGUCUAAAUAAAAGAAGUGUUUACAGAAAAGUAGAAUGCAGAAAGCUUGUGCUAAUGUGAUUGUACAAUUUGUACAAUUUUUUUUACUGAAAAAUUGUUUUGGAAUGAGACAAUUGGACUUUGUGUGACAGCAAAAUAACCUUUCUAUAGUGGGCAUAACACUGCAAAUAUAUUAACUAGAUUAAUAUAUUAAAAAUUGAUGACUUGGAGGACAGAUUGUAAUGGUUUGCUCUAAUAAGAAUAUUAUGUACAUGCUGUUCUCCUAACCCUUCUAUAUCCUUUGUUGAAACCCUGUUCUACUAAGAUUCUAGUCGGGAAUCAUUUAAUAUUUUAGCAGGCGCCUAAGAACUUCCCAAGGAAAUUAUUUGUCUUGCUACAUUUCCCGCAAUAUUAGGAGAGAGAAGCCUUUGCUGCAGACAUCUGGCCAGUGGCAUGAACUCAUAAUAGUAAUGCAUGGUUCCAAUGGUUACUUAAGGAAAUAAUGCAAGAGAUACUAUCUCUUUAUACUAUCUCUUAUAAAACUUCACCUAUGCUUAAAAUGUUUGUCAUUUAGAAAUGGUCUCAAAGACUCAAAUGAGCAUUUUCUAGACUGUACAUUUCAUUGGAGUCAAGUAUUUCAGCUUCAGGGUUGCUCCCUUGUAUAUUAAGUUCUUUGACUCAGUGUUAUAAGAAACUGUGUUUUCUUUCUCAUAUGCAAAUAUACAGGCAGUUUUCUGGACAAAGCCAGAAUAUUCCAAACUCAUGUUUGCUAUACUGAUUUCAUGUAAUGAAGCAUUUUCUGUAAAUGGUGUAUAUACCUUUUUCUUUCCUAUAUUUUUCAAGUCAUUCUCUUUCAAGUCAUUCUUUCCAAAUUCCUUCUUCAGCUUGCUACAGUAUAUUUGUGUCAGCAACUAUACACAUACUACAUACUCUUUUAUCUAUUCAUCUUUAUGCUCUAACAAAUAUCCAGAUGGUUUUGUUUUUAGCCACAGGAAUAUUAUUGCAAAGAAUAUCUUAGAAAUCUGGUUAAAACUGUCCCAGGAAUAAAUCCUGUUAAAAUGACUUUGUCCCGAGUAUAUACUAUUAACCUCUGAAAAUAAAACCACAUUUACAACA